AUCCUGAUACGGGGAGGUAGUGACAAUAAAUAACAAUACGGGGCCCAUCGGGUCUUGUAAUCGGAAUGAGUACAAUAUAAAUCCCUUAACGAGGAUCAAUUGGAGGGCAAGUCUGGUGCCAGCAGCCGCGGUAAUUCCAGCUCCAAUAGCGUAUAUUAAAGUUGUUGCAGUUAAAAAGCUCGUAGUUGGAUUUCUGGUAGGAGUGACCGUGCCGAACUUGAUUGUUCGUGUAUUGUGUUGUCUCCAGCCAUCCUCGUGGAGAACUUUUCUAGCAUUAACUUGUUGGGAUUGGGACCCGCGUCUUUUACUGUGAAAAAAUUAGAGUGUUUAAAGCAGGCAUUAGCUUGAAUACAUUAGCAUGGAAUAAUAAGAUAGGACUUUGGUACUAUUUUGUUGGUUUGCAUACCAAAUUAAUGAUCAACAGGAACAGUUGAGGAUAUUCGUAUGAACAUGUCAGAGGUGAAAUUCUUGGAUUUUGAUCAGACGAGCUACUGCGAAAGCAUUUAUCAAGGAUGUUUUCAUUAGUCAAGAACGAAAGUUAGGGGAUCGAAGAUGAUUAGAUACCAUCGUAGUCUUAACCGUAAACUAUGCCGACUUGC
rnacentral:rRNA from 1 species